UACGUAGGUGGCAAGCGUUGUCCGGAUUUAUUGGGUUUAAAGGGUGCGUAGGCGGUUCUAUAAGUCAGUGGUGAAAUACGGCAGCUCAACUGUCGAGGUGCCAUUGAUACUGCAGAACUUGAGUACAGACGAGGUAGGCGGAAUUGACGGUGUAGCGGUGAAAUGCUUAGAUAUCGUCAAGAACACCGAUAGCGAAGGCAGCUUACUAGACUGUAACUGACGCUGAGGCACGAAAGUGUGGGGAGUCAAACAGG
rnacentral:rRNA from 1 species